UGAGGCGAACCGGGGGAACUGAAACAUCUAAGUACCCCGAGGAAAAGAAAUCAACCGAGAUUCCCCCAGUAGCGGCGAGCGAACGGGGAGGAGCCCAGAGCCUGAAUCAGUGUGUGUGUUAGUGGAAGCGUCUGGAAAGGCGCGCGAUACAGGGUGACAGCCCCGUACACAAAAAUGCACAUAUUGUGAGCUCGAUGAGUAGGGCGGGACACGUGGUAUCCUGUCUGAAUAUGGGGGGACCAUCCUCCAAGGCUAAAUACUCCUGACUGACCGAUAGUGAACCAGUACCGUGAGGGAAAGGCGAAAAGAACCCCGGCGAGGGGAGUGAAAAAGAACCUGAAACCGUGUACGUACAAGCAGUGGGAGCCUCUUAAUGGGGUGACUGCGUACCUUUUGUAUAAUGGGUCAGCGACUUAUAUUCUGUAGCAAGGUUAACCGAAUAGGGGAGCCGAAGGGAAACCGAGUCUUAACUGGGCGUUAAGUUGCAGGGUAUAGACCCGAAACCCGGUGAUCUAGCCAUGGGCAGGUUGAAGGUUGGGUAACACUAACUGGAGGACCGAACCGACUAAUGUUGAAAAAUUAGCGGAUGACUUGUGGCUGGGGGUGAAAGGCCAAUCAAACCGGGAGAUAGCUGGUUCUCCCCGAAAGCUAUUUAGGUAGCGCCUCGUGAAUUCAUCUCCGGGGGUAGAGCACUGUUUCGGCAAGGGGGUCAUCCCGACUUACCAACCCGAUGCAAACUGCGAAUACCGGAGAAUGUUAUCACGGGAGACACACGGCGGGUGCUAACGUCCGUCGUGAAGAGGGAAACAACCCAGACCGCCAGCUAAGGUCCCAAAGUCAUGGUUAAGUGGGAAACGAUGUGGGAAGGCCCAGACAGCCAGGAUGUUGGCUUAGAAGCAGCCAUCAUUUAAAGAAAGCGUAAUAGCUCACUGGUCGAGUCGGCCUGCGCGGAAGAUGUAACGGGGCUAAACCAUG
rnacentral:rRNA from 1 species